rnacentral:rRNA from 1 species
GUAGUACUAGGAUGGGUGACCUCCUAGAAAGUCCUCGUUUUGCACCCCUUU